rnacentral:rRNA from 1 species
UACGAAGGGGACUAGCGUUGUUCGGAAUCACUGGGCGUAAAGCGCACGUAGGCGGAUCAUUUAGUCAGGGGUGAAAUCCCGGGGCUCAACCUCGGAACUGCCUUUGAUACUGAUGGUCUCGAGUCCGAUAGAGGUGGGUAGAAUUCCUAGUGUAGAGGUGAAAUUCGUAGAUAUUAGGAAGAAUACCGGUGGCGAAGGCGGCCCACUGGAUCGGUACUGACGCUGGGGUGCGAAAGCGUGGGGAGCAAACAGG